GAGGGGUUGUAGCUGGUCUCAAUUAAGGGACAUGUGCACACCUCACUCAUCCACUCUCAAACCUCUGUGAACUUAUUGUAGGUCGGUGAAAGGCUUGGUUUUAAUUAAUCAGGUUGGAAGCCUUCCUAUGUUUUUACUACAAACGCUUUAGUUAUAGAAUGUCAUACGCGUAUAACGCAUUUAUAUACAACUUUCAGCAACGGAUCUCUUGGCUCUCGCAUCGAUGAAGAACGCAGCGAAAUGCGAUAAGUAAUGUGAAUUGCAGAAUUCAGUGAAUCAUCGAAUCUUUGAACGCACCUUGCGCUCCCUGGUAUUCCGGGGAGCAUGCCUGUUUGAGUAUCAUGGAAUUCUCAACCUUCAAUACUUUUUUAAAAAGAGUGUCGAAGGCUUGGACUUGGAGGCUUUGUGCUGGCUCUGUAUUGAGUCGGCUCCUCUGAAAUGUAUUAGCGUGAAUCACUAUGGAUCGCUUCGGUGUGAUAAUUAUCUGCGCCGUGGUCGUGAAGUAUUAAUUCAAGUUCGCGCUUCUAAUCGUCCUUCAUGGGACAAUUACAUUGAACUUUUGAUCUCAAAUCAGGUAGGACUACCCGCUGAACUUAAGCAUAUCAAUAAGCGGGGGG
rnacentral:rRNA from 1 species